rnacentral:rRNA from 1 species
UACGAAGGGGGCUAGCGUUGUUCGGAAUUACUGGGCGUAAAGGGCGCGUAGGCGGUCCUGAUCGUCGGAUGUGAAAGGCCUGGGCUCAACCUGGGAACUGCAUCCGAUACGGCGGGACUGGAGUGUGGGAGAGGAUGGUGGAAUUCCCAGUGUAGAGGUGAAAUUCGUAGAUAUUGGGAAGAACACCGGUGGCGAAGGCGGCCAUCUGGACCACAACUGACGCUGAGGCGCGAAAGCGUGGGGAGCAAAC